CAAAACAAGGUUGUUUCACCAUUGCCAAUCCAUCUAACAAUUGCGAAUCCUUCACAACAAAAGUGACUUAUAUAAAAUAUGUUGUACAGAUAGUUUGAAUCAAAAUUGCUUUUGAGCGGGCAAAUUACUAAAAUGGGUUUUCACAUUUAUUCAUACAUUUGCUUAACAUAUAACAAAUUGACAAUGAAGAGUCUCUAUUUUAUGAUGCCCACAAUCACCUCCUUGUCGCUCCAAUACUCGUGCCUUACUCAUAUGCAGCCACCGCAACAUUAAUCACACUCUCCUCCAUCAUCUCUUGCUGCUUCAUCAAAAAAAGUCCAAAUAAAUUCUCGUUGAACUUCAACACAUCGUUUCAACCAUCAGCGCUAACGCACACCGAAUCAAUGCACUGAUUUUUGAUUAUUUCAUUUUUCUUUCUUAUUAGCAUAUAAAGGAGAAGAGGAGAAUAUUACUUGGCUUACUACGCAAGUUACCUACUAGAUUAGGUUUCUCAUUUUCAUGGACCAGGCAUGGUAAUUGUCACCAGAUAACUGUGGUGUAACGUUGAAGAACUCAGAAGGAUGCACAAAAUAGUGUGAAAA
rnacentral:lncRNA from 1 species